CGAACCAGACAAACCAGCUGGGAGGAGGACGGAAGCACCCCUUCUCCAUCCGCGUUCAGUUGCUAAAUACGGAUCCACCCCGUAGUAAGUAACCUACCAUGUUUACGCACACAUUACUUUGACCAGCAAAGCCCAUGUCUUUCUAGUGGUUUACAAAAAUAUAUCGUUUGCAUGUUUUGCUUUGGUACGUCUCUGUUGUAUGACUCUGGUAAUAGUAGCAAGCACAAGCACAACCUCGCCGCUCCAGCAUUGCAAAAUAGAUUGCCUUGGGUUUUCAAAUGUUUACAUGAUUGUGGGUGUAAUGUUGUUAAGUCGCUGAUGUCGUUUUUGAGAAGACGGUAGUUUUGCAUUUGAUAAAUACCACCUAAUGACCAUGACGGCUACACGGCAGAUCUUUAUUGUGAUGGCUACACUGAAUGAUCACAUGGAGAUGCCGGUACAUUAUUUGUUUUACCCUGGUUAUAUUGAAAUGUUCUGCUUUGUCCAUUCCAAGGUGUGGUGUUUUCCAUAGCUGCUCCUUGCUCCUGUUUCACAACAUAUCAAGGCUGCCAAGUAAAUGAAGAAUGAAUCACCGCACACUGGUCAACAGCCGACAGGGUCCUUCCACAACCACAUACUUAUGCCAGUAAAAGCCACAGCUUUUCUCCUCCAAUCCAAGAAGCCUGGACUGCAGUCACCAUCUCAACACACCAACCAAGAGAAAGGCGGAUGGCUCAAUUCAAUAUGGAAAAUUGCACAAUAAAAGUUCCAGGACAUGAAGGCUGCAUACUGUGAACGUCAACCUUCAGGGCACCGUCCUGCGCAGAAGACUUUCUACCCUAAGAGGGAUGGCUGACCGCAGACACUCACAACCAGCACAGACGCCUCCAACCUCAAACUAGGCCCUUCACAGUUGCUGCACUUACCCACCUUCCCAGAGUUUUUGUGUGGUAAUGACAACUGUAAAUAUAGUAUAAAGUAAUGUAUCUAGUGUCAUGUGUAAUACAUUGUUUAAAUUGUCCAUACAUUUCAAUGACAGUAAAUAUUGGUGGACACAAUUUGACUGUGUGGCUUUUUUUAAAAUUCAUUCUCUGACUGAAAAUGCAUGGUUACAUAAUUUAUAUAUUCCACAAGACCACAAUCAGAAGAACAUUUGACAGGUUGCAUUUAUUUUCUAUGUAUGAAAAAAACAAUGGUAACAAGACAAACGUGGUUCCAAACCAAAAAGGUGAGAUGU